CUACGGGCUGCAGCAGUGGGGAAUCUUAGACAAUGGGGGCAACCCUGAUCUAGCCAUGCCGCGUGAGUGAUGAAGGCCCUAGGGUUGUAAAGCUCUUUCAGCUGGGAAGAUAAUGACGGUACCAGCAGAAGAAGUCCCGGCUAACUCCGUGCCAGCAGCCGCGGUAAUACGGAGGGGACUAGCGUUGUUCGGAAUUACUGGGCGUAAAGCGCGCGUAGGCGGAUUAUUAAGUCAGAGGUGAAAUCCCGGGGCUCAACCCCGGAACUGCCUUUGAUACUGGUAGUCUUGAGUUCGAGAGAGGUGAGUGGAAUACCGAGUGUAGAGGUGAAAUUCGUAGAUAUUCGGUGGAACACCAGUGGCGAAGGCGGCUCACUGGCUCGAUACUGACGCUGAGGUGCGAAAGUGUGGGGAGCAAACAGGAUUAGAUACCCUAGUAGUC
rnacentral:rRNA from 1 species